rnacentral:RNase_P_RNA from 1 species
CGAGUAAGACAGAUAAUCGCAGCUGCAGGCGCCGAAAGGCCGCAGGUGAGGAAAGUCCGGGCUUCACAGGGCAGGAUGCCGGAUAACGUCCGGUGGAGGUGACUCCAAGGAUAGUGCAACAGAAAUGAACCGCCAUUUUAUAUGGUAAGGGUGGAAGGGCAGUGUAAGAGACUACCGCCCUGCUGGUAACAGUGGGGGCAUAUGUAAACCCCAUCCGAAGCAAGACCGGAUAAAGACAAUGUGGCGGCCCGUCACGUCUUAGGUAGGUCGCUUGAGUCCGCCGGCGACGGCGGACCUAGAUAGAUGAUUAUCCAAUGACAUAACCCGGCUUAUCGUCUUGCUGGCAUA